AUUGAACGCUGGCGGCAGGCCUAACACAUACAAGUCGAGCGGCAGCGGGAAAGUAGCUUGCUACGUUUGCCGGCGAGCGGCGGACGGGUGAGUAAUGCCUGGGAAAUUGCCCAGUCGAGGGGGAUAACAGUUGGAAACGACUGCUAAUACCGCAUACGCACUACGGGGGAAAGCAGGGGACCUUCGGGCCUUGCGCGAUUGGAUAUGGCCAGGUGGGAUUAGCUAGUUGGUGAGGUAAUGGCUCACCAAGGCGACGAUCCCUAGCUGGUCUGGGAGGAUGAUCAGCCACGCUGGAACUGAGACACGGUCCAGACUCCUACGGGAGGCAGCAGUGGGGAAUAUUGCACAAUGGGGGAAACCCUGAUGCAGCCAUGCCGCGUGUGUGAAGAAGGCCUUCGGGUUGUAAAGCACUUUCAGCGAGGAGGAAAGGUUGAUACCUAAUACGUAUCAACUGUGACGUUACUCGCAGAAGAAGCACCGGCUAACUCCGUGCCAGCCGCCGCAGUAAGAC
rnacentral:rRNA from 1 species